ensembl:ncRNA B0304.10 ncRNA
AGCAGCAUUUUUAGUUGUUGGUCACUGAAAAUUUUGAAUUUAAAGUAUUGUGUGGGCCUUCAAAGAUUGCCCUUUAGAGCUCUAACAAAUAUUUUCAAAAAUAAAAAUUUG